AUUGAACGCUGGCGGCAGGCCUAACACAUGCAAGUCGAACGGUAACAGGAAGCAUCUUGCUGCUUUGCUGACGAGUGGCGGACGGGUGAGUCAUGUCUGGGAAACUGCCUGAUGGAGGGGGAUAACUACUGGAAACGGUAGCUAAUACCGCAUAACGUCGCAAGACCAAAGAGGGGGACCUUAUGGCCUCUUGCCAUCGGAUGUGCCCAGAUUGGAUUAGCUAGUAGGUGGGGUAACGGCUCACCUAGGCGACGAUCCCUAGCUGGUCUGAGAGGAUGACCAGCCACACUGGAACUGAGACACGGUCCAGACUCCUACGGGAGGCAGCAGUGGGGAAUAUUGCACAAUGGGCGCAAGCCUGAUGCAGCCAUGCCGCGUGUAUGAAGAAGGCCUUCGGGUUGUAAAGUACUUUCAGCGGGGAGGAAGGGAGUAAAGUUAAUACCUUUGCUCAUUGACGUUACCCGCAGAAGAAGCACCGGCUAACUCCGUG
rnacentral:rRNA from 1 species